rnacentral:rRNA from 1 species
CCUACGGGCGGCAGCAGUGGGGAAUAUUGCACAAUGGGGGAAACCCUGAUGCAGCAACGCCGCGGGAGUGAAGAAGUAUUUCGGUAUGUAAAGCUCUAUCAGCAGGGAAGAAAAUGACAGUACCUGACUACGAAGCCCCGGCUAACUACGUGCCAGCAGCCGCGGUACGACGUAGGGGGCAAGCGUUAUCCGGAUUUACUGGGUGUAAAGGGAGCGUAGACGGCUGCGCAAGUCAGAAGUGAAAGCCCGGGGCUCAACCGCGGGACUGCUUUUGACACUGUAUAGCUAGAGUGCAGGAGAGGUAAGUGGAAUUCCUAGUGUAGCGGUGAAAUGCGUAGAUAUUAGGAGGAACACCGGUGGCGAAGGCGGCUUACUGGACUGUAACUGACGUUGAGGCUCGAAAGCGUGGGGAGCAAACAGGAUUAGAUACCCCUGUAGUC